AUUGAACGCUGGCGGCAGGCUUAACACAUGCAAGUCGAGCGGUAACAGGAAUUAGCUUGCUAAUUUGCUGACGAGCGGCGGACGGGUGAGUAACGCGUAGGAAUCUGCCUGGUAGUGGGGGACAACAUGUGGAAACGCAUGCUAAUACCGCAUACGCCCUACGGGGGAAAGGAGGGGAUCUUCGGACCUUUCGCUAUCAGAUGAGCCUGCGUGAGAUUAGCUAGUUGGUGGGGUAAAGGCUCACCAAGGCGACGAUCUCUAGCUGGUCUGAGAGGAUGAUCAGCCACACUGGGACUGAGACACGGCCCAGACUCCUACGGGAGGCAGCAGUGGGGAAUAUUGGACAAUGGGCGCAAGCCUGAUCCAGCCAUGCCGCGUGUGUGAAGAAGGCCUUCGGGUUGUAAAGCACUUUCAGUGGUGAGGAAGGGUGUGUAGUUAAUACCUACAUAUCUUGACGUUAGCCACAGAAGAAGCACCGGCUAACUCUGU
rnacentral:rRNA from 1 species